CCAAACAUUAAGCAAUAAGCAAAAGUGCUUCUCUCUCCCGUGGCUCUGGGUCUGACUUCGCACCUACAAAAACCAAGUACACAUAUAAAUCUCCAAAACAAAUCCCAGAUUGGAUCUCUUCCUAUUUCCACCUUCCUUUCUUCAGCUAAUAGAUCUCUCUCUCUCUCCGCCUCUCUUAAGCCAAAGCCAAUCUGAGGAAUUGUUGGAGCCUUCAGAUUGAUUCAAGCAUAGCUGUUCGAGGGUUGUGUAGCUAAUUCUUUGUGCUGGUGUUUUGAGUACUUUUGACAUCUGUCCAAGAAACUCAUACUUGGAAUGUCGUCUACGUGCUAGAUUUAUAAUGCACGUAAGUUAAUAGACGCUGUUGUCUGAUUUUGCGGAAACCAGUCAUACUCUUAGCCCAUUGGGUACAAUGGAUUAUGUCGGAGGGUAUCGAUGGCUUUAAUUUAGAUUUGGGUAGGAGAUGGUACAGAGUGCUUUGGACACAGAAAAGGUUGAGAAUUCAGGAGCCAAAUUCACUCAGAGUGGAAGCCAAGCAUCAGGUCUUCACAGGGAUCCCUCAUUCUCUCGCUGGUUUGAUGAAGAUGGGAGAGUGCAAGGUGAUUUGGUAAAUACGGAUGCGACGGUAGAAGAAGACCCUGAAUUUGAAUUGCCUCUGCCCCAACAGGGAGAGCUAGAAAACAAGGGUUUAGAUAUGGACAGGGACCGUAUAUCUCCAAGGGGAAGUAAGCGCUUGAACAGUGGUGAUACCUUUGGUAGUGCUACUGUCCAGCUAGAUGGAAAUGAUCAAGCAAAGCUUUUGCCUUUUGACGUUGAGAAGGGGUCUGAAAGGGAGCUACAGGACAUAGAUCACUCUACUUCUGUUGAUGACCACAAGGCAUUAUCCUCUAAUUCAAAGUAUCCCAUUUCUUCUGCAAUUGUACUGAAAACAUUGUUCUUUGUACUUGUAUGGUACACUUGCAGCCUAUUUUUGACCUUGUAUAACAAAAGUCUGUUAGGAGAUAAUUUGGGAAAGUUCCCCGCUCCCUUAUUGAUGAAUACUGUUCACUUUACAAUGCAAGCUAUUUUAUCAAAGGCAAUCACGUGGUACUGGUCUCAUAGGUUCAAAACCAGUGUCACUAUGUCUUGGAGAGAUUAUUUUGCUAAAGUUGUACCAACGGCUCUUGGAACAGCAAUGGAUGUUAAUCUAAGCAAUGCAUCCCUUGUUUUUAUAUCUGUCACAUUUGCCACAAUGUGUAAAUCCGCGGCUCCAAUAUUUCUCCUUCUAUUUGCUUUCGCUUUCAGGUUGGAAUCUCCGAGCUAUAAACUUUCGGGAAUCAUAUUGGUUAUCUCCAUUGGAAUACUACUAACAGUUGCAAAGGAGACAGAAUUUGAUUUCUGGGGAUUCAUUUUUGUCAUGCUUGCUGCUGUUAUGUCUGGUUUCCGAUGGUGUAUGACUCAAAUUCUUCUUCAGAAAGAAUCAUAUGGUUUGAAAAAUCCACUUACUUUGAUGAGCUAUGUGACUCCGGUUAUGGCAGUGGUGACUGCCCUGCUCUCUUUUAUUUUUGAUCCAUGGGAUGAACUUAGAAGAAACAAUUACUUCAAUAAUCCUGAGCAUAUCAGUCGAAGUUGCUUGCUGAUGCUUUUUGGUGGAACCCUUGCCUUUUUCAUGGUAUUAACAGAAUUCAUUCUUGUCUCAGUGACCAGUGCUGUCACUGUCACAAUCGCAGGUGUUGUCAAGGAGGCUCUCACUAUAUUGGUUGCAGUCAUUUACUUCCAUGAUGAAUUUACUAUGUUAAAAGGAGUUGGACUCUUCACAAUUAUUCUUGGGGUGAGUUUAUUCAACUGGUACAAGUAUGAAAAACUAAAGAAGGGUCAUACAAGUGAAGACGACAUGGAGGAAUCAGUCGUGAUGAAUGCUGCAAAAUAUGUUAUUCUUGAAGAGACAGAUGAGCAAGAUGAUGGCACAUAAGAGCUUCAGUAAGUCCAUUUAUCUGAAUCUGAAGCAAGUUAAUCAAUGAUUGUAAAUUCUUGAUGAGUAUACGUCAUUCACUUAUCAACGUCUUAAGCAUUAAGAGGGAAAGUUCAUAUUUGAGUCCACUUUUCGGUGAAGCAUUUGGCAUGAAGCAUAUUGGGCUAGUCUCAGAUAUUCAGCAAUUUUGUGUUCCAACAUCCAACCUUUACCUUUGCAGAGCUCUAAAUCAUUAGGUGUUGAUAUUUUGAAGCUACUGCCCGCGAGUCAGAAGGAAAAGCCACUUUAUAGGUUUUAGUAUAUACUGAGUGUUAUUGUUAGGAUAUGUACAUCUGGGUGUCAACUUCAAUAAUGGUUCAUUUGUUCCAUUACUUUUAGAAAGAGGAUGACUGCAACAGCAAGCUGCCCAGAAUUUUGAAUCCCAUCAUGCUAGAUGGAUUGGGUUCAUUGCCCUUGAAUGUAUAUUACAAAUCAAUUGCACAUUGUAUCUGAAUAAAAAUUGAUUUGGGAGAAGUA